UUUUCCACAUUUCGGCCAUGCUAACCCUGCCUUGUGAGGUGCUGGCGGUGCCCCAGCUGCUUUGGCGGCCUCUUCCUCCUCCUCUGCCUUGUGCUUCCACUGAGCCCCCAGUGUCAGUUGGGAAUGCGCUCUGCAGUGUGUCUACCAGCGUGCGACGACGCAUUCGGAUGUCUGCCCUAUCAACUUUCAAUGCUACUUUCUGCGCCUACCAUGGUGACCACGGGUAACGGGGAAUCAGGGUUCAAUUCUGGAGAGGGAGCAUGAGAAACGGCUACCACAUCCAAGGAAGGCAGCAGGCGCGCAAAUUACCCACUCCCGAUGCGGGGAGGUAGUGACGAAA